AAAAUAUGGCACGACCUCCUUUUAAUAGCAGAAGUCAAAAUUUAAUGUGCACAUUGUGGGUUACACAUGUUAUACUUAUGGCUGUGUUGGUUCUCAUAUUCUAUCAACAUUCGUAUCGAAUAUAUCGACGUACUAAGAUUUGCCGAAUAAAAAAUAAGGAAGAAAAACGAAUUAAGCGAAUGCAAUGGAUAUUUAGUCUUACAAAAGAGAGUGAUGCAUUUUGUAUUAGUGAACUCCGUAUGGAUAGGAGAACCUUUGGGAUAUUAUGUGAUAUGGUAAGAGACAUUGGGGGGUUAAAAGACACAAGAAAUGCAUCCGUUGAUGAAAUUGUUGCAUUUUUUAUCUAUGUUCUAGCACAUCACAAGAAAAAUAGAACAAUUAGUCUACUUUUUCAUCGAAGUCAAGAGACUGUGAGUCGUCACUUCAAUCUGUGUCUUCAUGCAAUUUUGAAGCUUCACCACAUAUUGCUCAAAACACCAGAACCUAUACUCGAAAACCGUGAAGAUGACAGAUGAAAACCAUUUAAGGGUUGCUUAGGCGCGUUAGACGGUACUUUUAUUCCAGUGACACCUAAAGAAGAAAAACAACGUUAUCGGACAAAGAAAGGAGGUAUAGCGACAAAUGUGUUGGGAGUAUGUUCCCCAAAUAUGCAAUUUAUAUAUGUAUUACUUGGAUGGGAAGGUUCUGCUCACGACGGUCGUGUUCUUCGUGAUGCCAUUAGUAGGCCUACUGGGCUUAAAGUUCCUCAAGGUUGUUACUACUUGGUGGAGGCUGGUUAUUGUAAUUCUUCUGGAUUUCUUGCGCCUUAUCGUGGACAUAGGUAUCAUCUUAAUGAGUUUGAUGGUCAUCGACCCGAGACUCCGGAAGAAUAUUUUAAUAUGAAGCACU